rnacentral:rRNA from 1 species
UACGAAGGGGGCGAGCGUUGUUCGGAUUUACUGGGCGUAAAGCGUGCGCAGACGGUCAUGUAAGUCGGGUGUGAAAGCCCCGGGCUCAACCUGGGAAUUGCAUUCGAGACUGCAUGGCUAGGGUGCGGAAGAGGGAAGCGGAAUUUCCGGUGUAACGGUGAAAUGCGUAGAUAUCAGGAGGAACACCGAUGGCGAAGGCAGGUCGUCUGGGCCGAUACUGACGCUGAGGAGCGAAAGCGUGGGGAGCGAACAGG